rnacentral:siRNA from 1 species
UCGAGGAUGCCAAAUCUGUC